rnacentral:rRNA from 1 species
UCCUACGGGGGGCAGCAGUGAGGAAUAUUGGUCAAUGGGCGAGAGCCUGAACCAGCCAAGUCGCGUGAGGGAAGACGGUCCUAUGGAUUGUAAACCUCUUUUGCCGGGGAGCAAAAAGCGGUACGUGUACCGCAUCGAGAGUACCCGAAGAAAAAGCAUCGGCUAACUCCGUGCCAGCAGCCGCGGUAAUACGGAGGAUGCGAGCGUUAUCCGGAUUUAUUGGGUUUAAAGGGUGCGCAGGCGGAGGUGCAAGUCAGCGGUCAAAUUGCGGGGCUCAACCCCGUACUGCCGUUGAAACUGCAUCC